rnacentral:rRNA from 1 species
UACGAGGGGGGCGAGCGUUGUUCGGAAUUAUUGGGCGUAAAGGGUGCGUAGGCGGUUCCGCAAGUCCUGUGUGAAACUCUUCGGGCUCGAACUCGAAGUCUGCACGGGAAACUGCGGGGCUUGAGUGUGGGAGAGGUGAGUGGAAUUCCCGGUGUAGCGGUGAAAUGCGUAGAUAGUCGGGAGGAACACCUGUGGCGAAAGCGGCUCACUGGACCAUAACUGACGCUGAUGCACGAAAGCUGGGGGAGCAAACAGG